rnacentral:rRNA from 1 species
UGAAACAUCUUCGGGUUGUGAGGUUAAGCGACUAAGCGUACACGGUGGAUGCCCUGGCAGUCAGAGGCGAUGAAGGACGUGCUAAUCUGCGAAAAGCGUCGGUAAGGUGAUAUGAACCGUUACAGCCGGCGAUGUCCGAAUGGGGAAACCCAGUGCAAUUCGUUGCACUAUCGUUAACUGAAUACAUAGGUUAACGAGGCGAACCGGGGGAACUGAAACAUCUAAGUACCCCGAGGAAAAGAAAUCAACCGAGAUUCCCCCAGUAGCGGCGAGCGAACGGGGAGCAGCCCAGAGUCUGAAUCAGCUUGUGUGUUAGUGGAACGGUCUGGAAAGUCCGACGGUACAGGGUGAUAGUCCCGUACACCAAAAUGCACAGGUUGUGAACUCGAAGAGUAGGGCGGGACACGUGGUAUCCUGUCUGAAUAUGGGGGGACCAUCCUCCAAGGCUAAAUACUCCUGACUGACCGAUAGUGAACCAGUACCGUGAGGGAAAGGCGAAAAGAACCCCGGCGAGGGGAGUGAAAAAGAACCUGAAACCGUGUACGUACAAGCAGUGGGAGCACCUUCGGGUGUGACUGCGUACCUUUUGUAUAAUGGGUCAGCGACUUAUAUUCUGUAGCAAGGUUAACCGUAUAGGGGAGCCGCAGGGAAACCGAGUCUUAACUGGGCGUUAAGUUGCAGGGUAUAGACCCGAAACCCGGUGAUCUAGCCAUGGGCAGGUUGAAGGUUGGGUAACACUAACUGGAGGACCGAACCGACUAAUGUUGAAAAAUUAGCGGAUGACUUGUGGCUGGGGGUGAAAGGCCAAUCAAACCGGGAGAUAGCUGGUUCUCCCCGAAAGCUAUUUAGGUAGCGCCUCGUGAACUCAUCUUCGGGGGUAGAGCACUGUUUCGGCUAGGGGGUCAUCCCGACUUACCAACCCGAUGCAAACUACGAAUACCGAAGAAUGUUAUCACGGGAGACACACGGCGGGUGCUAACGUCCGUCGUGAAGAGGGAAACAACCCAGACCGCCAGCUAAGGUCCCAAAGUCAUGGUUAAGUGGGAAACGAUGUGGGAAGGCACAGACAGCCAGGAUGUUGGCUUAGAAGCAGCCAUCAUUUAAAGAAAGCGUAAUAGCUCACUGGUCGAGUCGGCCUGCGCGGAAGAUGUAACGGGGCUAAACCAUGCACCGAAGCUGCGGCAGCGACACUAUGUGUUGUUGGGUAGGGGAGCGUUCUGUAAGCCUGCGAAGGUGUGCUGUGAGGCAUGCUGGAGGUAUCAGAAGUGCGAAUGCUGACAUAAGUAACGAUAAAGCGGGUGAAAAGCCCGCUCGCCGGAAGACCAAGGGUUCCUGUCCAACGUUAAUCGGGGCAGGGUGAGUCGACCCCUAAGGCGAGGCCGAAAGGCGUAGUCGAUGGGAAACAGGUUAAUAUUCCUGUACUUGGUGUUACUGCGAAGGGGGGACGGAGAAGGCUAUGUUAGCCGGGCGACGGUUGUCCCGGUUUAAGCAUGUAGGCUGGUUAUCCAGGCAAAUCCGGAUAAUCAAGGCUGAGGUGUGAUGACGAGGCACUACGGUGCUGAAGUAACAAAUGCCCUGCUUCCAGGAAAAGCCUCUAAGCAUCAGGUAACAUCAAAUCGUACCCCAAACCGACACAGGUGGUCAGGUAGAGAAUACCAAGGCGCUUGAGAGAACUCGGGUGAAGGAACUAGGCAAAAUGGUGCCGUAACUUCGGGAGAAGGCACGCUGGUGUGUAGGUGAAGNCCCUGCGGNUGGAGCUGAGACCAGUCGAAGAUACCAGCUGGCUGCAACUGUUUAUUAAAAACACAGCACUGUGCAAACACGAAAGUGGACGUAUACGGUGUGACGCCUGCCCGGUGCCGGAAGGUUAAUUGAUGGGGUUAUCCGUAAGGAGAAGCUCUUGAUCGAAGCCCCGGUAAACGGCGGCCGUAACUAUAACGGUCCUAAGGUAGCGAAAUUCCUUGUCGGGUAAGUUCCGACCUGCACGAAUGGCGUAAUGAUGGCCAGGCUGUCUCCACCCGAGACUCAGUGAAAUUGAACUCGCUGUGAAGAUGCAGUGUACCCGCGGCAAGACGGAAAGACCCCGUGAACCUUUACUAUAGCUUGACACUGAACAUUGAGCCUUGAUGUGUAGGAUAGGUGGGAGGCUUUGAAGCGUGGACGCCAGUCUGCGUGGAGCCAACCUUGAAAUACCACCCUUUAAUGUUUGAUGUUCUAACGUUGGCCCCUGACCGGGGUUGCGGACAGUGUCUGGUGGGUAGUUUGACUGGGGCGGUCUCCUCCCAAAGCGUAACGGAGGAGCACGAAGGUUAGCUAAUCCUGGUCGGACAUCAGGAGGUUAGUGCAAUGGCAUAAGCUAGCUUGACUGCGAGCGUGACGGCGCGAGCAGGUGCGAAAGCAGGUCAUAGUGAUCCGGUGGUUCUGAAUGGAAGGGCCAUCGCUCAACGGAUAAAAGGUACUCCGGGGAUAACAGGCUGAUACCGCCCAAGAGUUCAUAUCGACGGCGGUGUUUGGCACCUCGAUGUCGGCUCAUCACAUCCUGGGGCUGAAGUAGGUCCCAAGGGUAUGGCUGUUCGCCAUUUAAAGUGGUACGCGAGCUGGGUUUAGAACGUCGUGAGACAGUUCGGUCCCUAUCUGCCGUGGGCGCUGGAGAAUUGAGGGGGGCUGCUCCUAGUACGAGAGGACCGGAGUGGACGCAUCACUGGUGUUCGGGUUGUCAUGCCAAUGGCACUGCCCGGUAGCUAAAUGCGGAAGAGAUAAGUGCUGAAAGCAUCUAAGCACGAAACUUGCCCCGAGAUGAGUUCUCCCUGAGACUUUAAGUCUCCUGAAGGAACGUUAAAGACGAUGACGUUGAUAGGCCGGGUGUGUAAGCGCAGCGAUGCGUUGAGCUAACCGGUACUAAUGAACCGUGAGGCUUAACCUU